UCUUGGGGAGGGUUUCCCUUCCCAAAUGAAGGAACAAAGACCAAGUGAGAAGGCUUUUGCCCUUGACCCUUGGCCUUCCCUUUUCUUCUUGUUUGGGUGACAGAUGUGAUCCCUGGAGGUGAGUGGCUAUCUUGUGAAGCAUUGCAGAUGAUGGGGCAGGAAGACGGAUCCUGGGCUGCCUCUUUCCAUGGUCAUUGUCACAUGAGUAAGG
rnacentral:lncRNA from 1 species